rnacentral:lncRNA from 1 species
AUGAAUUUUGUCACCAUCAAAAGAAAUAUAGAACAGCAUCCAGACCAGCAGGAAAAGGUGAAAACCCAGAACCUCCGCGCCGGGAUGGAGGGUCAGCGAGGAGCCAUCUAUUACGAUGCCGACUUUCUGAGAAGAGGAAUUAAAGGCGCAUAA